rnacentral:rRNA from 1 species
UGGGGAAUAUUGCACAAUGGGGGAAACCCUGAUGCAGCGACGCCGCGUGAACGAAGAAGGUAUUCGUAUCGUAAAGUUCUGUCCUAUGGGAAGAUAAUGACAGUACCAUAGAAGAAAGCUCCGGCUAAAUACGUGCCAGCAGCCGCGGUAAUACGUAUGGAGCGAGCGUUGUCCGGAAUUAUUGGGCGUAAAGGGUACGCAGGCGGUUUAAUAAGUCGAAUGUUAAAGAUCGGGGCUCAACCCCGCAAAGCAUUGGAAACUGAUAAACAUGAGUAGUGGAGAGGAAAGUGGAAUUCCUAGUGUAGUGGUGAAAUACGUAGAUAUUAGGAGGAAUACCAGUAGCGAAGGCGACUUUCUGGACACAAACUGACGCUGAGGUACGAAAGCGUGGGGAGCAAACAGG